UACGUAGGGUGCGAGCGUUGUCCGGAAUUAUUGGGCGUAAAGGGCUCGUAGGCGGUUUGUCGCGUCGGUCGUGAAAACUUGGGGCUUAACCCUGAGCUUGCGGUCGAUACGGGCAUGACUGGAGUUCGGCAGGGGAGACUGGAAUUCCUGGUGUAGCGGUGAAAUGCGCAGAUAUCAGGAGGAACACCGGUGGCGAAGGCGGGUCUCUGGGCCGAUACUGACGCUGAGGAGCGAAAGCGUGGGGAGCGAACAGG
rnacentral:rRNA from 1 species